GAUGAACGCUAGCGGCAGGCCUAAUACAUGCAAGUCGAGGGGCAGCAGGGAUAGCAAUAUUCGCUGGCGACCGGCGCACGGGUGCGUAACACGUAUACAAUCUGCCUUUAACUGGGGGAUAGCCCGGAGAAAUCCGGAUUAAUACCCCAUAAUAGAUUGACUGGCAUCAGUUGAUUUUGAAAGCUCCGGCGGUUAGAGAUGAGUAUGCGUCUGAUUAGCUAGUUGGUGAGGUAACGGCUCACCAAGGCGACGAUCAGUAGGGGAUCUGAGAGGAUUAACCCCCCACACGGAUACUGAGACACGGAUCCGACUCCUACGGGAGGCAGCAGUAAGGAAUAUUGGACAAUGCCCGCAAGGGUGAUCCAGCCAUGCCGCGUGCAGGAAGACGGCCCUAUGGGUUGUAAACUGCUUUUACACCGGAGAAAACCCCCCUACGUCGUAGGGGGCUGAUAGUAUGGUGAGAAUAAGCAUCGGCCAACUUCGUGCCAGCAGCCGCGGU
rnacentral:rRNA from 1 species